AUCCUGUUGGUGCAAAAAUCUGCUUGCGCCGGAGAAGCUGGAGUCGGGGAAGCCGCGGUCGCCGUCGGGACCUGCAAAGGAAGUCUAAACCGGAGGUGGGGUUGCUCCGGCAAGACCCUCCGACGCUCAAGUCAGUUCUCUACCUCAACAAGAAUGGAGUGCUCGAACGGAGAAUUUAGCAGAGUUUUGAGAUAAGAAAAUGAGCUUAGAGAAUAACGUAUCUGGGUCCCC
rnacentral:lncRNA from 1 species